CACCUGGUGGCGUAGAGGUUAAGUGCUUGGCUGCUAACCAAAAGGUCAGUAGUUCAAAUCCACCAGGUGC
rnacentral:tRNA from 1 species